rnacentral:rRNA from 1 species
CCUACGGGUGGCAGCAGUGAGGAAUAUUGGUCAAUGGGCGUAACCCUGAACCAGCCAAGCCGCGUGGGGGAUGAAGGUUCUAGGGAUCUUAAACCUCUUUUAUAAGGAAAUAAAGGGUGGGACGUGUCCGGUUUUGUAUGUACCUUAUGAUUAAGGAUGGGCUAACUCCGUGCCAGCGGCGGAGGUAAUACGGAGGAUCCGAGCGUUAUCCGGAUUUAUUGGGUUUAAAGGGUGCGUAGGCGGGCUGUUAAGUCAGCGGUAAAAGCCCGGGGCUCAACCCCGGCGAGCCGUUGAAACUGGCUGUCUUGAGAUGUCGAGAGGUAGGCGGAAUGCGCAGUGUAGCGGUGAAAUGCUGAGAUAUUGCGCAGAACUCCGAUUGCGAAGGCAGCAUACCGGCGGCGAUCUGACGCUGAGGCACGAAAGCGUGGGUAUCGAACAGGAUUAGAUACCCUUGUAGUC